rnacentral:tRNA from 1 species
AGGGAUAUAGUAUAUAAAUUAUAUUUAGUUUGGGACUAUAAGAUAUUACUUAGUAAUUAUCCCUA